rnacentral:tRNA from 1 species
GGCGGAGUAGCUCAGGGGUUAGAGCAGUGGAAUCAUAAUCCAAAGGUCGGCAGUUCAAUUCUGCCCUCCGCUACCA